AUGAUUUUUUUGCCUCUACAAUCAGACGGGGAAUCGAACCCGGGCCCCUGAGACACAAGGCGGACACUCUAGCGUUCAGCCUAAGAGGUGCUUACUGGCGUCUCGGGUUACAACAGAGUCCUUAAUGUCUAGUAAUACGUUAUUAUUAUCUUAUGUAUAUUAUGUAUGUAUCCUGACACCACUGUUUCUGGGUUUUAAGAUGUAUACUUCACGCCUAGUUCGUAUAUUAACCGCUCUCCUUGUAGUUAACGACAUCUUUACUCACUUCUAUGUAUAUUAAGACCUCUAUUCCUGCCUUCAACAUCUUCAUCGCCGUUAGUUCGCAUAUCAACAUCGCUAUCCUUGUACUUAACGACAUUUUUACUCGCUAUUAUGUAUAUCAAGACUUAAAUUCCUGCCUUCAACAUCUUCAUCGCCUGUUAGCUCGUACAUCAACAUCGCUAUCCUUGUACUUAACGACAUUUUUACUCGCUAUUAUAUAUAUCAAGACUUAAAUUCCUGCCUUCAACAUCUUCAUCGCCUGUUAGCUCGUAUAUCAACAUUGCUAUCCUUGUAUUUAACGACAUUUUUACUCACUGUUAUGUAUAUCAAGACUCAAAUUCCUGCCUUCAACAACUUCAUCGCCUGGUUAGUUCGUAUAUCAACAUCGCUAUCCUUGUAUUUAACGACAUUUUUACUUACUGCUAUGUAUGUUAAGACUCCAAUCACUGCCUACAAUAUCUUAAUCCCCUAUUAGUUCGUAUGUCAUUGUCAACACCACUGUUCCUGUCCUUAACGAUAUCCUUAACGUUCAUUAAUACAUAAUAACAUCGCUAUUCCUUCCUCUAAUGAUUAGCGAUAUGAUUUCUAAAGAUCAUGGACGUAAUAAUAUAAAUACUGGAGUCAAAAUGUAAAGUCCCAAUAGUUGCAAACACGUGAUUCCCUGGCUCGUCCAUAUAGUAACAAGACUUGAAAUUUUGUAAAAGGAGCAUAGAAGAGGGAUGAGAGGGGUAUAGAAAAGAAGGGUGGGGGAAGAAAAGGGAAAUAAAGAAGGAGUCAAAAUGCAAAGUCCCAAUAGUUGCAAACACGUGAUUCCCUGGCUCGUCCAUAUAGUAACACGACUUGAAAUUUUGUAAAAGGACGCGCCAAUGAUAAUACAAUGGCGAUACGAAUGAUGUGAAUGAUAAUACGAAUUGAAAAGGAUGACUCCCCACAUAUCCGUACACACGUUAGCAGGGCCCGUGUUGCCGCGUGUAGCCUACCACUCUAGUAUGCAACUUUUGGCCGGUCGUCACACACAAGACUUUUCAUUGUAUUGUAUUAUCCAGAUUAUUAUGCAAGAGUAACAACUAUAGAAGGAUAACUCCGUGGGCUUCUUUUUUUUUCUUCUUUUUUAUGCAUUUCUCGAUCCGUUUCUUUACACCAGGAAUGAGAGAAAAAAAAAUUACAAGUUCCACAAUAUUAUGACAAAAUUUCAAUGGUCAAUAUUCUUUUUUUCUCUCUCUCUCUUUUCCAUUUAUAUAUAUUUUUUGCUUAAUGCGCCUAACAAACACCAAAAUUAAAAUGAAAAGUUAUAGCUCCACAAUAUUAUGACUAAUUUUCGGUGGUCAUUAUCCUUUUUUUUUUCGGUUUUGUUCAUUUUUUUGCUUCAUGCGUCGAACGAACAUCAAAACUCUUAUUCUUAUUAUUACGAUUCAACAAAAGUUUCACAAUAAAAAUAAAAUAAAAAAGGUUUGAGGUGCGUAUAACAUCCAUGAUCUUCCUUCGUUUCGUAUAAUCUCGAGUACGAUUCAACAAAAGUUUCACACUAAAAAUAAUAAAAAAUACAGGUUUGAGGUGCGUAUAACACCCAUGAUCUUCCUUCGUUUCGUAUAAUAUCGUUACGCAAUACAUCCAGCAACACCAAUAAAGCAUUCUCCUUAAUACGAUUCAACACUUAAAGCGAAGCAGCGUCAGUUAUAACGACUAAUAAUGGCAGUAACGUCUGAUUAAAUGAAGGCUAACUGCGUGCUAACUGGCCAUUGGUGUUUUGAUUAUACUUGAACACCACAAUGACAACAACCCUAUUAAUAUCAUCAUCAUCAUCAUUAACAGCACUUUUCCUAACCUUUCUAAGAAUCUUCCGCAUUUCCAACGGCACCUCGUUUUCUUUAGGGUUGGUGUGUUUUAAGUUCGCAUCUUCGUUUCAUCUCUCAGUCACAAAUACUUAUCUCGAUUUCGUCUUUUCCGUCAGUCACCAUCAUUGUUUAUCUUUAUCUCCUCUUCUCUCAGUCAUACAUGAAUCUUCCGCAU